GACCUCAGAUCGGGCGAGACUACCCGCCGAAUUUAAGCAUAUUAAUAAGCGGAGGAAAAGAAACUAGCAA
rnacentral:rRNA from 1 species